GAUGAAGAACGUAGCGAAAUGCGAUAAGUAAUGUGAAUUGCAGAAUUCAGUGAAUCAUCGAAUCUUUGAACGCACAUUGCGCCCGCCAGUAUUCUGGCGGGCAUGCCUGUUCGAGCGUCAUUUCUACCAUCAAGCCCCCGGCUUGUGUUGGGGACCUGCGGCUGCCGCAGGCCCUGAAAACCAGUGGCGGGCUCGCUAGUCACUCCGAGCGUAGUAAUACAUCUCGCUCAGGGCGUGCUGCGGGUUCCGGCCGUUAAAAAGCCUUAUUUACCCAAGGUUGACCUCGGAUCAGGUAGGAAGACCCGCUGAACUUAAGCAUAUCAAUAAGCGGAGGA
rnacentral:misc_RNA from 1 species